rnacentral:lncRNA from 1 species
CCUCCUUAUUGACAUCCUCUCCUCCCUUGGCUUCUGAGACACUCUAUUCUGGUUUUCCAUGGGCUUGGCCACCUGGCUCAUUAUGCCUCUGAGGAAGGAGGUGGAGAGUUGGGUGCCACAGUCUAGGAAGGAGAGUGAGGAACUGGAAACUGUUCAGAAGAAAGAAAACAGAAUACUGAAUCUUCAAAUCCAUUCCAUCAUCUGCUGAUUUCCAGGAUACAAAUACUCACACUGAAAAUUUAACAAUUGACUCAGGGAGUUAGUUUGAUCUAGCACCUCUGGAUUUGGAGCAAUAUAGAGUAUGGUCCAGGCUCUUGAAGAUCUCAUAUUAUUGUUGGAAAAACCAGAUUUGUAGACAUGAAACAAUCAGCGAACAAUUAAAAGAUGGCACAUGAUAAAUCGAAUCUCAUCAUGUGUGGUAUAGACAAUUAAUGAUCAGACAGGUUCAGGAGAGGAGAUGUCAGGUGAGAGCUCCUGGAGUGAUAUGACUUGUCAUAGGCAUUGAUAUUCAAAAGGCUAUACUUUGUCCUCCAUUCUAUUUGGCAUUCAUUGACCAUCUAGAGGACAGCUCUUUUGGAGUGCGACUUAUCCCACAACCUUUUAAAAGCAAUCUAGUAAAAAUGAAAUCUUGUUGGUU